UUUUUUGAGAAUUUGAUCCUGGUUCAGGACGAACGCUGGCAGUGUACCUUAAGCAUGCAAGUCGAACGGUGAAGCACUUGGCCGCAAGGCCUUGUGUGGAGCAGUGGCAGACGGGUGAGGAAAGACAGGAAUCUACCUUUUUGUGGGGAAUAGUCCCGCGAAAGCGGGAUUAAUACCGCAUAAGUCCGCAAGGAGAAAGGCCUUAACCGGCCGCAGAAAGAUGAGCCUGUUCGCUAUCAGCUAGUUGGUAAGGUAAUGGCUUACCAAGGCUAUGACGGCUAGGGGGUGUGAGAGCACGGCCCCCCACAAUGUUACUUAGACACGGAACAUACAUCUACGGAUGGCAGCAACUGGGAAUUUUGCACAAUGGACGAAAGUCUGAUGCAGUGACACUGCGUGUGGGAUGAAGGCCCUCGGGUCGUAAACCACUGUGAUAGGGGAAGAAAUUUUGACGGUACCCUAUUAGAAAGCGCCUGCUAACUACGUGCCAGAAGCCUCGGUAAUACGUAGGGCGCAAGCGUUGUCCGGAUUUAUUGGGCGUAAAGAGUAUCGUAGGCGGUUUGUAAAGUAUCGGGUUAAAGCCUGGGGCUCAACUCCAGAGAUGCUCGAUAAACUAACAGACUAGUGGGUGUUCGGGGUUGCUAGAAUUCUUGGUGGAGGAGUGAAAUCCAUUGAUAUCAAGAAGAAUACCAAAAGCGAAGGCAGGCAACUAGAACAUUCCAGACGCUGAUGAACGAAAGCUAGGGGAGCGAAAGGGAUUUUAACUAGUCCCAUUACGUAGUAAUGCGUAAUUUAAGAACUGGCUAUAUCGGUGAAAGUCCUUGCAGUUUCGGUUUAUCUUCGGAUAUACUGAGUA
rnacentral:ncRNA from 1 species